CGUAGGUGGCAAGCGGUUGUUCCGGACUUAUUGGGCGUAAAGCGCGCGCAGGCGGUUUCUUUAGUCUGAUGUGAAAGCCCCGGCUCAACCCGGGGAGGGUCAUUGGAAACUGGGGAACUUGAGUGCAGAAGAGGAGAGUGGAAUUCCACGUGUAGCGGUGAAAUGCGUAGAGAUGUGGAGGAACACCAGUGGCGAAGGCGACUCUCUGGUCUGUAACUGACGCUGAGGCGCGAAAGCGUGGGGAGCGAACAGGAUUAGAUACCCUGGUAGUCCACGCCGUAAACGAUGAGUGCUAAGUGUUAGAGGGUUUCCGCCCUUUAGUGCUGCAGCAAACGCAUUAAGCACUCCGCCUGGGGAGUACGGUCGCAAGACUGAAACUCAAAGGAAUUGACGGGGGCCCGCACAAGCGGUGGAGCAUGUGGUUUAAUUCGAAGCAACGCGAAGAACCUUACCAGGUCUUGACAUCCUCUGACAACCCUAGAGAUAGGGCUUCCCCUUCGGGGGCAGAGUGACAGGUGGUGCAUGGUUGUCGUCAGCUCGUGUCGUGAGAUGUUGGGUUAAGUCCCGCAACGAGCGCAACCCUUGAUCUUAGUUGCCAGCAUUCAGUUGGGCACUCUAAGGUGACUGCCGGUGACAAACCGGAGGAAGGUGGGGAUGACGUCAAAUCAUCAUGCCCCUUAUGACCUGGGCUACACACGUGCUACAAUGGGCAGAACAAAGGGCAGCGAAGCCGCGAGGCUAAGCCAAUCCCACAAAUCUGUUCUCAGUUCGGAUCGCAGUCUGCAACUCGACUGCGUGAAGCUGGAAUCGCUAGUAAUCGCGGAUCAGCAUGCCGCCGGUGCAAAUUACCCGGCUUC
rnacentral:rRNA from 1 species